GACGAACGCUGGCGGCGUGCUUAACACAUGCAAGUCGAGCGGUAAGGCCCUUUCGGGGGUACGACGAGCGGCGAACGGGUGAGUAACACGUGGGUGGACCUGCCUUUAGUCUCUGGGAGUAAGCCUGGGAAACGUAGGGUCGUAAUACCGGAUAUGACUCCAUGACGCAUGUUGUGGGGUGGGAAAGCCUUGUGCGGCUA
rnacentral:rRNA from 1 species